rnacentral:rRNA from 1 species
AACGACUCUCGGCAACGGAUAUCUCGGCUCACGCAUCGAUGAAGAACGUAGCAAAAUGCGAUACUUGGUGUGAAUUGCAGAAUCCCGUGAACCAUCGAGUUUUUGAACGCAAGUUGCGCCCGAAGCCAUCCGGCCAAGGGCACGCCUGCCUGGGCGUCACGCU